rnacentral:rRNA from 1 species
UGGCGGACGGGGGAGUAAUGUCUGGGAAACUGCCCGAUGGAGGGGGGUAACUACUGGAAACGGUAGCUAAUACCGCAUAACGUCGCAAGACCAAAGAGGGGGACCUUCGGGCCUCUUGCCAUCGGAUGUGCCCAGAUGGGAUUAGCUAGUAGGUGGGGUAACGGCUCACCUAGGCGACGAUCCCUAGCUGGUCUGAGAGGAUGACCAGCCACACUGGAACUGAGACACGGUCCAG